rnacentral:rRNA from 1 species
GGUGAACGCUGGCGGUAUGCUUAACACAUGCCAGUCGAACGGUCACUUCGGUGAUAGUGGCGGACGGGUGAGUAACGCGUGAGAAUCUGUCUUCAGGUCGGGGACAACAGUUAGAAAUGACUGCUAAUACCGGAUGUGCCUUUGGGUGAAAGAUUUAUUGCCUGAAAAAGAGCUCGCGUCAGAUUAGCUAGUAGGUGGUGUAAGAGACUACCUAGGCUCCGAUCUGUAGCUGGUCUGAGAGGACGAUCAGCCACACUGGAACUGAGACACGGUCCAGACUCCUACGGGAGGCAGCAGUGGGGAAUUUUCCGCAAUGGGCGAAAGCCUGACGGAGCAAUACCGCGUGAGGGACGAAGGCUUUUGGGUCGUAAACCUCUUUUCUCAAGGAAGAUGAUGACGGUACUUGAGGAAUAAGCAUCGGCUAACUCUGUG